GUCACACACUGCUUUUAUGCAUAGCCCCAUACAAGGGGUCUUCAUCCCAAACCAACAGGGGUUGUAUCCCAGGAUCCUCUAUACCUGGAAGUCAAAGCACAGGUGUAGCGGACCACGGGUUACCCGACCGGUUAUCUCCACUAGUCCCCUUCCUUCAGCCGGGCAGGAACCACAUAGAGACCCAUUUUCCCCCAGUAGCACACAGUCCUGGACAUACAACACAAUUUUAUUGGCCACACACAAGGGGUAUCAUACAAAAUAUACAAGGUCACCUCCCAGGAUCCUCCCUCUCCCUGGGUCUCUAGCGCGGGAAGGGACUCUGUUCCCUUUGUCCCCUUCUUUCUAAGAGCCUCUGUGCCUGGGAGUGCAAAAGGGACCGUCCCUUUGUCUCCCAGGCACAGAAAAGCCUUCCCGCGGGAAAAGAGCUGGCCUCAGGUUCAUGAGAGCCCA